rnacentral:rRNA from 1 species
GGGACUGCGAAACCUAAAGGCGCAAUGAAAGUGAAGGUCGCGCCAACCAAGGUCGACCGAGGGAGGAUGGGCCGCGUUUGCGCGCGGCUCCGCACUCCCGGGGCGUCUCGUUCUCAUUGCGAGAAGAGGCGCACCCAGAGCGUACACGUUGGGACCCGAAAGAUGGUGAACUAUGCCUGGUCAGGACGAAGUCAGGGGAAACCCUGAUGGAGGUCCG